GCCAGGCGUGGUGGUGGGCACCUGUAAUCCCAGCUACUUGGGAGGCUGAGGCAGGAGAAUUGCUUGAACCCGGGAGACAGAGGUUGCAGUGAGCCGAGAUCACGCCACUGCACUCCCGCCUGGGUGACAGAGCAAGACUCUGUCUCAA
ensembl:misc_RNA Metazoa_SRP Metazoan signal recognition particle RNA